rnacentral:rRNA from 1 species
UACGGGGGGAGCAAGCGUUGUUCGGAUUUACUGGGCGUAAAGGGCGCGUAGGCGGCGCAACAAGUCACUUGUGAAAUCUCCGGGCUUAACUCGGAAAGGUCAACUGAUACUGUGCGACUAGAGUGCGGAAGGGGCAACUGGAAUUCUCGGUGUAGCGGUGAAAUGCGUAGAUAUCGAGAGGAACAACUGCGGCGAAGGCGGGUUGCUGGGCCGACACUGACGCUGAUGCGCGAAAGCCAGGGGAGCGAACGGG